GUUAAUGUGGCAGAAAAAGGUUAUGCAAAAGAUCUAAGCCCUUUGAAUCGGGGUUCAAAUCCCCUCAUUAACU
rnacentral:tRNA from 1 species